GCAGGAGUGGCGAAAUUGGUAGACGCGCUAGUUUUAGGCACUAGUGGAGCGAUCCAUGGAGGUUCAAGUCCUCUCUCCUGCA
rnacentral:tRNA from 2 species